AACAAACGGGAAAUGCGCAAUAUGUGACUCGCCCAAGACAUUAUUUUAGUCUGUGUAGUAGUAUCUCGUUAGAGAACUACUAUGUCUGUUUCCGAUAGAAAAUGUGUAUCUACGUAAUGUAAUAACAGAACUAUUUUCUCUUUGAAUAAUAAAAAAAGUUCAACUCUUCCUCACGGUCCAUAUCUAAUUUUAGUAAGAGCGGGUUCAUCGAAAUAGAAAAUUGAUCAAGAAUUUCGUUGGAAUAAAUUUACUACCAUUUGUAUUUCUUUUACUUUUUAUUCUUUUACUUUCGAAAUACAAACACGGAAAUAAUUGAAAUAUUUGUUAAAUUGAAAGAGUAUUCUUCAUAUAUAUUAUUCAAAAACUAUAUUACAACACUAAACCCAAGAAAAUUUCGAAAUACAGAUGUUUUUUUAUUUCUAUUUACAAUUUAAAAAUUGAAUUUUUAAAUUGAAAUAGUGUUGAAAUAGUGAAAUUUCAACUAAAAAAAGCUUUUCAGAACUGAACGAUUUAUACAAAAAAAAAUUGAUAAAGUUUAAUUCCUAAACUCAAUUACAAUUAGUAAUACUUCUAGAGUCCACUUCUUCCCCAUACUACGAGUGAAAGGGAAAAUAGUAAAGACUACCAUUAAAGCAGCCCAAGCGAGAUUUACUAUAUCCAUAUGAAUUAUGUCCCCUAUCUCUAUGACGGAAUUCUUGAAUUAUUGUUCACUAAUAAAUAAUAGUGGAAUCACUGGCGCAGAGUCAAAAAUUCUGACCUAAGAUCGUUGAUGAAACAAUCCACUAAAUUCAACUCUAACUUAUAAGGAAGGGGUCUUAGAAGAGUUCUAGUAUAAUCAGAAAAGAUUAAGCACAAGCUUAAUAUGCGGAGACCCCCUCCCCUUGGAAGUAUCAAAGAAAUUAAAUUAAUAUGUAGAAAUAAGAAAAAUAGAUUCUUUCUUUUGUUGCCCUUCAUUAAGUAAGUAUAAAAAAAUAGAAGAAAGGUAGAUCACUACCUAGCCCAUACUCUAUUUCUUUCCCAUUUUAUUUUGAUCUAAUCCUUAACGUCUCCUUAUUG
rnacentral:lncRNA from 1 species